CCAUCGGCUCUUUUCAGAGCCAUUGACCAGAUCAUAAAAGAGAUUU
rfam:Anopheles minimus strain MINIMTS1 unplaced genomic scaffold supercont1.17, whole genome shotgun sequence.